rnacentral:rRNA from 1 species
CAGAGACCUCAAGCGUUAUCCGGAAUCAUUGGGCGUAAAGCGUACCGAUAGGUGGUUGUGAAAGUUUUGGGUAAAAGCCAGAAGCUUAACUUCUGAGUUUGCUCAAAAUACUGCACGACUAGAGGGGCAAAGAGGUGCUUGGAACGAAUGGUGUAGUAGUGAAAUGCGUUGAUAUCAUUCGGAACACCGAAAGCGAAGGCAGAGCACUGGGUGCCACCUGACACUGCUAGGACGAAAGCGUGGGGAGCGAAUGGGAUUAGAUACCCCAGUAGUCCACGCUGUAAACGAUGAAUACUAGGCAUGCGCGAGUAUCGACCCUCGUGCGAGCCGUAGUCUAACGCGUUAAGUAUUCCGCCUGGGGAGUACGGUCGCAAGACUA